rnacentral:rRNA from 1 species
CCUACGGGAGACAGCAGUGGGGAAUAUUGCACAAUGGGGGAAACCCUGAUGCAGCAACGCCGCGUGAGUGAGGAAGUAUUUCGGUAUGUAAAGCUCUAUCAGCAGGGAAUAGAAAAGAAGGUACCUGAAAAAGAAGCCCCGGCUAACUACGUGCAAGCAGCCGCGGUAAUACGGGGGAUGCAAGCGUUAUCCGGAUUUAUUGGGUUUAACGGGUGCGUAGGCUGUGAGGUAAGUCAGCGGUGGAAUGCCCCCGCUCAACGGGGUGAAGUGCCAUUGAUACUGCCUGGCUGGAAUGCGGAUGCCGGAGGAGGAAUGUGUGGUGUAGCGGUGAAAUGCAUAGAUAUCACACAGAACACCGAUUGCGAAGGCAUCUCACGAAACCGCGAUUGACGCUGAUGCACGAAAGCGUGGGUAGCAAACAGGAUUAGAUACCCGAGUAGUC